CUCGCCGCCGUAGAAAGAGCCCCGGCAGAGGAAGAAGCCAGAAGCCUUCCCCUGCUGCCAUCCGGCACAAUAAAAGAGCAAAUUUCUGAGCAAUAUUGUGUCAAA